GGUCUUACUGGGUGUUAGACAAAUGUUUUCUUGUGGCUCACUCCAAAAGCCCGCCACAUCGCUCGGUUAGCACUGCCCAUGUCAGUGGUGAUGUUUACCACAACAAGACCUAUGGAAGCUGCUCUCUCAAUGAUGUCUAGGAUGACUGGCUUGUAAUUAGCUCCAUUAGUGGAAUUGCCACUAAAAUGGAUCUUUUGGGAAGCCAUACAUAUGGAUUCCUUUCUCUGACCGAUUGGUGCAUCCAAAUGCAGCACACCCAACCAUGCAGAUGUGGUGACUGACUUCAAAAGGAGCUGCUGCCAA